UAAGUAGUACGCAAAAAAAAAGUUUAAGAACCACUGCUAUAGAGCCUUUGGAUUAUCAGUAUGUUUCUACUGCUGUUGAAACUCCAGCAUUAACACCUUAUGCACGUGGCAGUUAUUCUUUGUUGUCAUUCAAAACUGGACAGUUUACUGGUCAAACUGGUGGUAAAGUACUAACACCUGCAGAACUUUCUGCUGGAUUUCAAACUUGACUGAAAAAGGAUCAGCUUAAAAAUGCUGCUUUAAGAAACCGUGGUAUUAGAAUUCAUUUGUUACAAAAAAUGGGAUGGAACCAAGUGAAGGUCUAGAUAAGAAUCAAUAUAAAUCUCUAGAACCACUUUUACUAUAUGCCAAAAUGAAUAAGAGGUGUAAACAAAUUUUACAAAGAAAAGGAAAUCGCACAAAGUUUUCAAAAAAAACAUUACCCAUGUUGUCACUAGAUGAUAAAUUGUCCAAAUAGGACAAGCAAACAAUAAAAUAGCUAGGUAGUUGUCAAUGGAGUGUAGUAUUGUUCAUCAAGGUGUGGAACCAAAAAAAAUGACUAAAAUGGAAGCUACCAAAGAAUGUUUAAAAUAAAU